CGCCGCGUGAGUGAUGAAGGUUUUCGGAUCGUAAAACUCUGUUGUUAGGGAAGAACAAGUAUCGGAGUAACUGCCGGUACCUUGACGGUACCUAACCAGAAAGCCACGGCUAACUACGUGCCAGCAGCCGCGGUAAUACGUAGGUGGCAAGCGUUGUCCGGAAUUAUUGGGCGUAAAGCGCGCGCAGGUGGUUCCUUAAGUCUGAUGUGAAAGCCCACGGCUCAACCGUGGAGGGUCAUUGGAAACUGGGGAACUUGAGUGCAGAAGAGGAAAGUGGAAUUCCAAGUGUAGCGGUGAAAUGCGUAGAGAUUUGGAGGAACACCAGUGGCGAAGGCGACUU
rnacentral:rRNA from 2 species